ACGGAGGCAGCCAAGUGGAUUAAGGCAGUGAAUUGUGAAUUCACCGCGCGCGGGUUCAAUUCCCGCCGCUCGCC
rnacentral:tRNA from 1 species